AUUGAACGCUGGCGGCAGGCCUAACACAUGCAAGUCGGGCGGUAACAGGGAGAAGCUUGCUUCUCUGCUGACGAGCGGCGGACGGGUGAGUAAUGUAUGGGGAUCUGCCUGAUGGCGGGGGAUAACUACUGGAAACGGUAGCUAAUACCGCAUAAUGUCCACGGACCAAAGCGGGGGACCUCCGGGCCUCGCGCCAUCAGAUGAACCCAUAUGGGAUUAGCUAGUAGGUAAGGUAACGGCUUACCUAGGCGACGAUCCCUAGCUGGUCUGAGAGGAUGAU
rnacentral:rRNA from 1 species